rnacentral:rRNA from 2 species
AACGCUGGCGGUGUGCCUAAUACAUGCAAGUCGAACGCGUUGGCCCAAUUGAUUGAUGGUGCUUGCACCUGAUUGAUUUUGGUCGCCAACGAGUGGCGGACGGGUGAGUAACACGUAGGUAACCUGCCCAGAAGCGGGGGACAACAUUUGGAAACAGAUGCUAAUACCGCAUAACAACGUUGUUCGCAUGAACAACGCUUAAAAGAUGGCUUCUCGCUAUCACUUCUGGAUGGACCUGCGGUGCAUUAGCUUGUUGGUGGGGUAACGGCCUACCAAGGCGAUGAUGCAUAGCCGAGUUGAGAGACUGAUCGGCCACAAUGGGACUGAGACACGGCCCAUACUCCUACGGGAGGCAGCAGUAGGGAAUCUUCCACAAUGGGCGCAAGCCUGAUGGAGCAACACCGCGUGAGUGAAGAAGGGUUUCGGCUCGUAAAGCUCUGUUGUUAAAGAAGAACACGUAUGAGAGUAACUGUUCAUACGUUGACGGUAUUUAACCAGAAAGUCACGGCUAACUA